rnacentral:rRNA from 1 species
GACGUAGGAUGCGAGCGUUGUCCGGAUUCAUUGGGCGUAAAGAGUUCGUAGGCGGUUUAUUAAGUCUGGUGUUAAAGACUGGGGCUCAACCCUGGGACAGCACUGGAUACUGGUAGGCUGGAGUGUGGUAGAGGCAAGCGGAAUUCCUGGUGUAGCGGUGAAAUGCGUAGAUAUCGGGAGGAACACCUGUGGCGAAAGCGGCGCACUGGACCAUAACUGACGCUGAGGCGCGAAAGCUAGGGGAGCAAACAGG